UAAGCGACUAAGCGUACACGGUGGAUGCCCUGGCAGUCAGAGGCGAUGAAGGACGUGCUAAUCUGCGAUAAGCGUCGGUAAGGUGAUAUGAACCGUUAUAACCGGCGAUUUCCGAAUGGGGAAACCCAGUGUGAUUCGUCACACUAUCAUUAACUGAAUCCAUAGGUUAAUGAGGCGAACCGGGGGAACUGAAACAUCUAAGUACCCCGAGGAAAAGAAAUCAACCGAGAUUCCCCCAGUAGCGGCGAGCGAACGGGGAGCAGCCCAGAGCCUGAAUCAGUGUGUGUGUUAGUGGAAGCGUCUGGAAAGGCGUGCGAUACAGGGUGACAGCCCCGUACACAAAAAUGCACAUACUGUGAGCUCGAUGAGUAGGGCGGGACACGUGGUAUCCUGUCUGAAUAUGGGGGGACCAUCCUCCAAGGCUAAAUACUCCUGACUGACCGAUAGUGAACCAGUACCGUGAGGGAAAGGCGAAAAGAACCCCGGCGAGGGGAGUGAAAAGAACCUGAAACCGUGUACGUACAAGCAGUGGGAGCACGCUUAGGCGUGUGACUGCGUACCUUUUGUAUAAUGGGUCAGCGACUUAUAUUCUGUAGCAAGGUUAACCGAAUAGGGGAGCCGAAGGGAAACCGAGUCUUAACUGGGCGUUAAGUUGCAGGGUAUAGACCCGAAACCCGGUGAUCUAGCCAUGGGCAGGUUGAAGGUUGGGUAACACUAACUGGAGGACCGAACCGACUAAUGUUGAAAAAUUAGCGGAUGACUUGUGGCUGGGGGUGAAAGGCCAAUCAAACCGGGAGAUAGCUGGUUCUCCCCGAAAGCUAUUUAGGUAGCGCCUCGUGAAUUCAUCUCCGGGGGUAGAGCACUGUUUCGGCAAGGGGGUCAUCCCGACUUACCAACCCGAUGCAAACUGCGAAUACCGGAGAAUGUUAUCACGGGAGACACACGGCGGGUGCUAACGUCCGUCGUGAAGAGGGAAACAACCCAGACCGCCAGCUAAGGUCCCAAAGUCAUGGUUAAGUGGGAAACGAUGUGGGAAGGCCCAGACAGCCAGGAUGUUGGCUUAGAAGCAGCCAUCAUUUAAAGAAAGCGUAAUAGCUCACUGGUCGAGUCGGCCUGCGCGGAAGAUGUAACGGGGCUAAACCAUGCACCGAAGCUGCGGCAGCGACGCUUAUGCGUUGUUGGGUAGGGGAGCGUUCUGUAAGCCUGUGAAGGUGUACUGUGAGGUAUGCUGGAGGUAUCAGAAGUGCGAAUGCUGACAUAAGUAACGAUAAAGCGGGUGAAAAGCCCGCUCGCCGGAAGACCAAGGGUUCCUGUCCAACGUUAAUCGGGGCAGGGUGAGUCGACCCCUAAGGCGAGGCCGAAAGGCGUAGUCGAUGGGAAACAGGUUAAUAUUCCUGUACUUGGUGUUACUGCGAAGGGGGGACGGAGAAGGCUAUGUUGGCCGGGCGACGGUUGUCCCGGUUUAAGCGUGUAGGCUGGUUUUCCAGGCAAAUCCGGAAAAUCAAGGCCGAGGCGUGAUGACGAGGCACUACGGUGCUGAAGCAACAAAUGCCCUGCUUCCAGGAAAAGCCUCUAAGCAUCAGGUAACAUCAAAUCGUACCCCAAACCGACACAGGUGGUCAGGUAGAGAAUACCAAGGCGCUUGAGAGAACUCGGGUGAAGGAACUAGGCAAAAUGGUGCCGUAACUUCGGGAGAAGGCACGCUGAUACGUAGGUGAAGCGACUUGCUCGUGGAGCUGAAAUCAGUCGAUGAUACCAGCUGGCUGCAACUGUUUAUUAAAAACACAGCACUGUGCAAACACGAAAGUGGACGUAUACGGUGUGACGCCUGCCCGGUGCCGGAAGGUUAAUUGAUGGGGUUAGCGCAAGCGAAGCUCUUGAUCGAAGCCCCGGUAAACGGCGGCCGUAACUAUAACGGUCCUAAGGUAGCGAAAUUCCUUGUCGGGUAAGUUCCGACCUGCACGAAUGGCGUAAUGAUGGCCAGGCUGUCUCCACCCGAGACUCAGUGAAAUUGAACUCGCUGUGAAGAUGCAGUGUACCCGCGGCAAGACGGAAAGACCCCGUGAACCUUUACUAUAGCUUGACACUGAACAUUGAGCCUUGAUGUGUAGGAUAGGUGGGAGGCUUUGAAGUGUGGACGCCAGUCUGCAUGGAGCCGACCUUGAAAUACCACCCUUUAAUGUUUGAUGUUCUAACGUGGACCCGUGAUCCGGGUUGCGGACAGUGUCUGGUGGGUAGUUUGACUGGGGCGGUCUCCUCCUAAAGAGUAACGGAGGAGCACGAAGGUUGGCUAAUCCUGGUCGGACAUCAGGAGGUUAGUGCAAUGGCAUAAGCCAGCUUGACUGCGAGCGUGACGGCGCGAGCAGGUGCGAAAGCAGGUCAUAGUGAUCCGGUGGUUCUGAAUGGAAGGGCCAUCGCUCAACGGAUAAAAGGUACUCCGGGGAUAACAGGCUGAUACCGCCCAAGAGUUCAUAUCGACGGCGGUGUUUGGCACCUCGAUGUCGGCUCAUCACAUCCUGGGGCUGAAGUAGGUCCCAAGGGUAUGGCUGUUCGCCAUUUAAAGUGGUACGCGAGCUGGGUUUAGAACGUCGUGAGACAGUUCGGUCCCUAUCUGCCGUGGGCGCUGGAGAACUGAGGGGGGCUGCUCCUAGUACGAGAGGACCGGAGUGGACGCAUCACUGGUGUUCGGGUUGUCAUGCCAAUGGCACUGCCCGGUAGCUAAAUGCGGAAGAGAUAAGUGCUGAAAGCAUCUAAGCACGAAACUUGCCCCGAGAUGAGUUCUCCCUGACCCUUUAAGGGUCCUGAAGGAACGUUGAAGACGACGACGUUGAUAGGCCGGGUGUGUAAGCGCAGCGAUGCGUUGAGCUAACCGGUACUAAUGAACCGUGAGGCUUAACCU
rnacentral:rRNA from 1 species